rnacentral:rRNA from 1 species
UACGAAGGUGGCAAGCGUUACUCGGAUUUACUAGGCGUAAAGGGCAGGUAGGUGGUUUGAUAAGUCUGCUGUGUAAGCUCCCGGCUUAACUGGGAGAGGUCAGGCAGGAACUGUCAGGCUUGGAGUAGUGGGAGAGGGUAACUUCGGAAGUUCCUGGUGUAGCGGUGAAAUGCGCAGAUAUCAGGAGGAACACCAAUGGCGAAAGCAGGUACCUGGACCAUUACUGACACUCAGCUGCGAAAGCUAGGGGAGCAAACAGG